rnacentral:rRNA from 1 species
UACGUAGGGCGCAAGCGUUGUCCGGAAUUAUUGGGCGUAAAGAGCUCGUAGGCGGUCUGUCGCGUCGGAUGUGAAAGCCCGGGGCUUAACCCCGGGUCUGCAUUCGAUACGGGCAGACGUAGAGUGUGGUAGGGGAGAUCGGAAUUCCUGGUGUAGCGGUGAAAUGCGCAGAUAUCAGGAGGAACACCGGUGGCGAAGGCGGAUCUCUGGGCCAUUACUGACGCUGAGGAGCGAAAGCGUGGGGAGCGAACAGG